rnacentral:ncRNA from 1 species
GGGGCGCAUUUAUUAGAUAAAAGGCUGACGUGGGCUCUGCUCGCUGAUCCGAUGAUUCAUGAUAACUCGACGGAUCGCAUGGCCUUUGUGCCGGCGACGCAUCAACCAAAUUUCUGCCCUAUCAACUUUCGAUGGUAGGAUAGGGGCCUACCAUGGUGGUGACGGGUGACGGAGAAUUAGGGUUCGAUUCCGGAGAGGGAGCCUGAGAAACGGCUACCACAUCCAAGGAAGGCAGCAGGGGCG